rnacentral:lncRNA from 12 species
GGGGUUGCCUGCUGAGCGGUGGGGGCAGUGGGGGUGGAAGGGGAGUCAGAGACCGGGGGAUGUGAAGUAAUGGGAAAGCGGUUGCCAAGAACAGGAAGGCCGAGGGGCGGUGACGGUUGAGCUCCCGCGUCUCUCGGGCGGGGCCGUGGGAAGCCUCCAGGCCGCUCCAUGUGGCUUCUGGGCGUCCGGGAGCAAGUGCCGGCACCGGGCAGCAUUGGAACUCGUGGCCCAAGAACAGCCAAGGCCCUUCCCAGAGGGCGGGGGCCUCCCCCGGUGCACGGGCCCCGAGCAGAGCCACGGGCGAGGACUCGCUCCCUCUUCACUGCCCACCCGUGACGCUGACCCGCCUUCAGCUCCAUGCCAGGCCUCCGGGUCUGUGGGCCGUGGACCACGGGACUCCGCGCCCUAAGCCCGCCAACCAAGCCUGCAGGAUAAACCCUACACGGACGACGCCUGGUGGGCAUAGUCUCCCUGCGGAGAACCUCACACGGCGAAGCAGCAGGGCUCCUGGGACCUCGGCUGAACUGGGGAUCCUGUGCCGUGAACGUCUAGAACAAAGCCAGCGGCCUUUCCAAGAUACGCGCAUAUUUUCCAAAAAUCCCGGGACCCCACCGGCCGGGACUUGUGCAGGAGUCACUUCCCGCAGGGAGCAUCCUGCCGGUCGGUCCGGGCCUCGCAGGCUGGCGCCCCCGCGCUCCCCUGGGCCCCGUCCCGGCCUCCGUGGCUUCCUCAAGCCCGUCACCGGGGGCCUCCGGCUAGGCUGUCACCCUGACGGGGACUCCUGUGUGCUGGGCUCCUCUCAGGCAAAGCGCAGUCGCAGGUGGAAUCGUGUCCCUACCAACUUGUGCGUGGGAGUCCCAAGCCCCAGGGUCGUCUUUGCAGGUGGCCUUGCUUGGAGCUACGGUCUUAUAAAGGGGCUCAAGCCAAAGCGAGGUCAUGGGGGUGGCCGCCAAGCCGGGUUGACGAGCGUGCACGUAAGACGGUGCGGCCGUGCAAGGAGGUGGCCGUGUCUGAGCCAAGGAGAGACUCUGGAACAAUCCUUCCCUCGCACCCUCGCAGCCUUGGAAGAUGCCAGUCGGGCGGCACCUCGACCUCAGGCUUCCGGCCUGCAGGGCCGUGGGAACGUGGGGCUCUGUGCCUGCAGCCGCGUCACCUGCGGCACCUGUGCGCUUGCUCCAUCCGUCCUAUGGGCUUUGCUGUCUCGGCGAGGAAACUGAGUCAGAGAGGUCGGGCGUCCGAGCAGAGGUGGAGCCAGGGCCGGCCCGACCUGUGGCACAGAGUGCUUGCCUUGUCCCUCACUUACCUUUCUGGCUUUUCAAUUUACUUCCCGCAGCCCGUGAGCUCAGUCUCACAAGCAAAAUUGUGACACAGACAAAAAGAAAAAGACCACCCCGCAGCCGGGAGUGACUCCGUUGCUCCUGCUGGGCCUAAAAGUGUUUUCCUUCGCUCGCUCAAUGUGCGUCCUGGGCUUCCUGGGUGCGCAUCUCUGCGGGGGCACCGACGAGCCCAGUGACGCGGGACACGACGCCUCCCCCGUCGAGGCCCAAGUCCCAGCAGUGGGGUCACGGCGAAGGGCCGGGCGGGACAUCGCGAAGCUCCCAAGGCAGAGCGAUGGACCGUGAUUGCCAAGAGGCGCGUCGUGACGGUGACGCGAUGGUGCCUCGAGGACAGACAAGGGGACGAGGCCCCUGAGAACUGCCCGUGAGCCUGCAAACGGAGGAGGAGGCCCCGGCUGGCCCCGGCCCCAGACACGGACUCGGCGGCCCCUGCGGCCUGCAGUAGCUGCCGCCACCCCGGGCUGGGAGCUUCCCUGGCACUGCCACUUCCCCGAGACGAUGCACAAUUAUUGUAGUUUUCAAAGCCAUUUUCAGUGGUUGUAAGACAGAAAUCCGGCGUCAGGGUAACAGCUUUGGAUUCUUUUCUCCAGUGGUUUUGUCAUUUUUUCAUGCAUCCUCCGGAGCUGCCCAUUGGGUAUCUGUUGCUCUUGCUGCACAUUCACCAUUUUCCUUCUUUUUUUUUCAUUGAAGUUUCCACUUUAUUUCUUUGUGAUUUUUUUUCUCCAGUCUGUCCUCUAAAUGAUGGAUUCUGUUUUCUGUCAUCCUCUCUUCACUGCUUCCAAUGCUAUUUUAAUUUCUCAAUUGGGGUAUAAAGUUCCCUUAAUUUCUGGCCUUUCUUUUGCCAGUUGUCUUUCGUUUUUUUGUUUGUUUGUUUGUUGUUUGUCCCACAUCUCAUCUUUCAUCACUUGUAUCACACAGUUCUGAAUUUCUCUAAUUUCCUCUUUUUUUUUUUUUUUUUUUUUUUGUGCCUAACGCAGGGCUCGAAUUCAUAACCCUGAGCUCAAGACGUGAGCAAAGAUCAAGAGUCAGACACUUAGUGGACAAGCCACCUGGGUGCCCCUCUAACUUCCUUUAGGGAACCAAGUAGUUAUUUUCUUUUUUUAUCUGAUUGAGUUCUUUCGGCUGUAUUGAGGUAGAAUUGACAAGUAAGACUUAUAUAUGUUUAGGGUGUGCCACUGGAUGCCUCACAUUGCGUAUUCUCUGUAAAACGGUCACCACCCCGACACUAAUCACGGUACCCUCAUCUUAUGUAGCUACCACUGGCCUGCUGUGUAUGCGUGCUGAAACUCACGGCCUGCCACCCACCAUUCUACUCUGCUUCUAUGAGUUCAAUCAUUUUUAUGUUUUGCAUAUAAGUAAAAUCAUACAGCAUUUGUCUUUCUCUGUCUGGCUUAUUUCACCUGAUAUAAUGUCUACCACGUUUAUCCCCGCUAUCGCAAAUGGCAGGAUUUCCUUCUUUUUAAGGGACAAAUAUAUGUACAUACAUCACAUUUCUUCACCCACUACCAUCAACGGACAGUCAGGUGGUUUCCAAGUCUUGACCGCUGUGAAUAAAUAAUUCUACAAUGAACA